rnacentral:sRNA from 1 species
CUUAUCGGUAGGCGAGGCUACCUCAGGGAUAUGGGUUACUGCCGCGGAGUAGUGGAGACACUAUGAGAAGGCCAACAGUCGGUGUCGUCAAAGGCAUGGACUAUGUAACUUCACUGCCCUGAGAGGCUAAAACUUGAACGAUG